rnacentral:rRNA from 1 species
GAUGAACGCUGGCGGCGUGCUUAACACAUGCAAGUCGAACGGUGAAGCCAAGCUUGCUUGGUGGAUCAGUGGCGAACGGGUGAGUAACACGUGAGCAACCUGCCCUGGACUCUGGGAUAAGCGCUGGAAACGGCGUCUAAUACUGGAUAUGAGCCUCUUCCGCAUGGUGGGGGUUGGAAAGAUUUUUUGGUCUGGGAUGGGCUCGCGGCCUAUCAGCUUGUUGGUGAGGUAAUGGCUCACCAAGGCGUCGACGGGUAGCCGGCCUGAGAGGGUGACCGGCCACACUGGGACUGAGACACGGCCCAGACUCCUACGGGAGGCAGCAGUGGGGAAUAUUGCACAAUGGGCGAAAGCCUGAUGCAGCAACGCCGCGUGAGGGAUGACGGCCUUCGGGUUGUAAACCUCUUUUAGCAGGGAAGAAGCGAAAGUGACGGUACCUGCAGAAAAGGCGCCGGCUAACUACGUG